rnacentral:rRNA from 1 species
AAGUGGAGCAAUCCAUGAGUAAAGUGGCGACCGGGUGAGUAACACGUGACUAACCUACCUUCGAGUGGGGAAUAACUCCGGGAAACCGGGGCUAAUACCGCAUAACAUCGCAAGAUCAAAGCAGCAAUGCGCUUGAAGAGGGGGUCGCGGCUGAUUAGCUAGUUGGCGGGGUAACGGCCCACCAAGGCGAAGAUCGGUAUCCGGCCUGAGAGGGCGCACGGACACACUGGAACUGAAACACGGUCCAGACUCCUACGGGAGGCAGCAGUGGGGAAUUUUGCGCAAUGGGGGAAACCCUGACGCAGCAACGCCGCGUGGAGGAUGAAGCCCCUUGGG